rnacentral:rRNA from 1 species
UGGAAUCCUCUUACUAACAAUAUAUCCUGAAAUCAAGAGAGAUGUCGU